UACGUAGGGGGCAAGCGUUGUCCGGAUUUAUUGGGCGUAAAGAGCUCGUAGGCGGCUUGUUGCGUCGACUGUGAGAACCUGCGGCUCAACCCCAGGCGUGCACCCGAUACUCCCGGGCUGGAGGCAGGUAGGGGAGAUCGGAAUUCCUGGUGUAGCGGUGAAAUGCGCAGAUAUCAGGAGGAACACCGGUGGCGAAGGCGGGUCUCUGGGCAACAACUGACGCUGAGGAGCGAAAGCGUGGGGAGCGAACAGG
rnacentral:rRNA from 1 species